UACGUAGGGUGCGAGCGUUAAUCGGAAUGACUGGGCGUAAAGGGUGCGUAGGCGGUUUGCUAAGACGGAUGUGAAAUCCCUGGGCUCAACCUAGGACCUGCAUACGUGACUGGUAGGCUAGAGUAUCGAAGAGGGGGGUAGAAUUCCACGUGUAGCAGUGAAAUGCGUAGAGAUGUGGAGGAAUACCGAUGGCGAAGGCAGCCCCCUGGUCAGAUACUGACGCUGAGGCACGAAAGCGUGGGGAGCAAACAGG
rnacentral:rRNA from 1 species